rnacentral:miRNA from 11 species
CCAGAUAUCAGACAUAUUAUUA